rnacentral:rRNA from 1 species
GAUGAACGCUGGCGGCGUGCCUAAUACAUGCAAGUCGAGCGAACUGAUUAGAAGCUUGCUUCUAUGACGUUAGCGGCGGACGGGUGAGUAACACGUGGGCAACCUGCCUGUAAGACUGGGAUAACUUCGGGAAACCGAAGCUAAUACCGGAUAGGAUCUUCUCCUUCAUGAGAGAUGAUUGAAAGAUGGUUUCGGCUAUCACUUACAGCUGGGCCCGCGGUGCAUUAGCUAGUUGGUGAGGUAACGGCUCACCAAGGCAACGAUGCAUAGCCGACCUGAGAGGGUGAUCUGCCACACUGGGACUGGGACACGGCCCAGACUCCUACGGGAGGCAGCAGUAGGGAAUCUUCCGCAAUGGACGAAAGUCUGACGGAGCAACGCCGCGUGAGUGAUGAAGGCUUUCGGGUCGUAAAACUCUGUUGUUAGGGAAGAACAAGUACGAGAGUAACUGCUCGUACCUUGACGGUACCUAACCAGAAAGCCACGGCUAACUACGUGCCAGCAGCCGCAGUAA